UGGGGAAUCUUGCACAAUGGGGGAAACCCUGAUGCAGCGACGCCGCGUGAGCGAUGAAGGUUUUCGAAUCGUAAAGCUCUGUCCUAUGGGAAGAUAAUGACGGUACCAUAGGAGGAAGCCCCGGCUAACUACGUGCCAGCAGCCGCGGUAAUACGUAGGGGGCGAGCGUUGUCCGGAAUUACUGGGCGUAAAGGGUUCGCAGGCGGCAUGACAAGUCCGAUGUAAAAGGCGUAAGCUCAACUUUCGUAAGCAUCGGAAACUGUCAAGAUUGAGUGAAGGAGAGGGAAGUGGAAUUCCUAGUGUAGCGGUGGAAUGCGUAGAUAUUAGGAGGAAUACCGGUGGCGAAGGCGACUUGCUGGACUUCAACUGACGCUGGGGAACGAAAGCGUGGGUAGCAAACAGG
rnacentral:rRNA from 1 species